UUAAAUUGAGAGUUUGAUCCUGGCUCAGGAUGAACGCUGGCGGCGUGCUUAACACAUGCAAGUCGAGCGAUGAAGUUUCCUUCGGGAAACGGAUUAGCGGCGGACGGGUGAGUAACACGUGGGUAACCUGCCUCAUAGAGUGGAAUAGCCUUCCGAAAGGAAGAUUAAUACCGCAUAACGUUGAAAGAUGGCAUCAUCAUUCAACCAAAGGAGCAAUCCGCUAUGAGAUGGACCCGCGGCGCAUUAGCUAGUUGGUGGGGUAACGGCCUACCAAGGCGACGAUGCGUAGCCGACCUGAGAGGGUGAUCGGCCACAUUGGGACUGAGACACGGCCCAGACUCCUACGGGAGGCAGCAGUGGGGAAUAUUGCACAAUGGGGGAAACCCUGAUGCAGCAACGCCGCGUGAGUGAUGAAGGUUUUCGGAUCGUAAAGCUCUGUCUUUGGGGAAGAUAAUGACGG
rnacentral:rRNA from 1 species